AGAGUUUGAUCAUGGCUCAGAUUGAACGCUGGCGGCAGGCCUAACACAUGCAAGUCGAACGGUAACAGGAAGCAGCUUGCUGCUUUGCUGACGAGUGGCGGACGGGUGAGUAAUGUCUGGGAAACUGCCUGAUGGAGGGGGAUAACUACUGGAAACGGUGGCUAAUACCGCAUAACGUCGCAAGACCAAAGAGGGGGACCUUCGGGCCUCUUGCCAUCAGAUGUGCCCAGAUGGGAUUAGCUUGUUGGUGAGGUAACGGCUCACCAAGGCGACGAUCCCUAGCUGGUCUGAGAGGAUGACCAGCCACACUGGAACUGAGACACGGUCCAGACUCCUACGGGAGGCAGCAGUGGGGAAUAUUGCACAAUGGGCGCAAGCCUGAUGCAGCCAUGCCGCGUGUAUGAAGAAGGCCUUCGGGUUGUAAAGUACUUUCAGCGGGGAGGAAGGUGUUGUGGUUAAUAACCGCAGCAAUUGACGUUACCCGCAGAAGAAGCACCGGCUAACUCCGUGCCAGCAGCCGCGGUAAUACGGAGGGUGCAAGCGUUAAUCGGAAUUACUGGGCGUAAAGCGCACGCAGGCGGUCUGUCAAGUCGGAUGUGAAAUCCCCGGGCUCAACCUGGGAACUGCAUUCGAAACUGGCAGGCUUGAGUCUUGUAGAGGGGGGUAGAAUUCCAGGUGUAGCGGUGAAAUGCGUAGAGAUCUGGAGGAAUACCGGUGGCGAAGGCGGCCCCCUGGACAAAGACUGACGCUCAGGUGCGAAAGCGUGGGGAGCAAACAGGAUUAGAUACCCUGGUAGUCCACGCCGUAAACGAUGUCUACUUGGAGGUUGUGCCCUUGAGGCGUGGCUUCCGGAGCUAACGCGUUAAGUAGACCGCCUGGGGAGUACGGCCGCAAGGUUAAAACUCAAAUGAAUUGACGGGGGCCCGCACAAGCGGUGGAGCAUGUGGUUUAAUUCGAUGCAACGCGAAGAACCUUACCUGGUCUUGACAUCCACAGAACUUUCCAGAGAUGGACUGGUGCCUUCGGGAACUGUGAGACAGGUGCUGCAUGGCUGUCGUCAGCUCGUGUUGUGAAAUGUUGGGUUAAGUCCCGCAACGAGCGCAACCCUUAUCCUUUGUUGCCAGCGGUUAGGCCGGGAACUCAAAGGAGACUGCCAGUGAUAAACUGGAGGAAGGUGGGGAUGACGUCAAGUCAUCAUGGCCCUUACGACCAGGGCUACACACGUGCUACAAUGGCGCAUACAAAGAGAAGCGACCUCGCGAGAGCAAGCGGACCUCAUAAAGUGCGUCGUAGUCCGGAUUGGAGUCUGCAACUCGACUCCAUGAAGUCGGAAUCGCUAGUAAUCGUGGAUCAGAAUGCCACGGUGAAUACGUUCCCGGGCCUUGUACACACCGCCCGUCACACCAUGGGAGUGGGUUGCAAAAGAAGUAGGUAGCUUAACCUUCGGGAGGGCGCUUACCACUUUGUGAUUCAUGACUGGGGUGAAGUCGUAACAAGGUAACCGUAGGGGAACCUGCGGUUGGAUCACCU
rnacentral:rRNA from 2 species